rnacentral:rRNA from 1 species
GCGACGCCGCGUGAGUGAGGAAGUAUUUCGGUAUGUAAAGCUCUAUCAGCAGGGAAGAAAGAAAUGACGGUACCUGAGUAAGAAGCUCCGGCUAAAUACGUGCCAGCAGCCGCGGUAAUACGUAUGGAGCAAGCGUUAUCCGGAUUUACUGGGUGUAAAGGGAGCGUAGGCGGCAGAGCAAGUCUGAUGUGAAAGCCCGGGGCUCAACCCCGGUAGUGCAUUGGAAACUGUUCAGCUUGAGUGUCGGAGGGGUAAGCGGAAUUCCUGGUGUAGCGGUGAAAUGCGUAGAUAUCAGGAAGAACACCGGAGGCGAAUGCGGCUUACUGGACGAUUACUGACGCUGAGGCUCUAAAGCGUGGGGAGCGAACAGGAUUAGAUACCCUGGUAGUCACGCUGUAAACGAUGAAUACUAGGUGUCGGUACCCGAAGGGUAUCGGUGCCGUCGCAACGCAUAAGUAUCCACCUGGGGAGUACGUUCGC